rnacentral:hammerhead_ribozyme from 1 species
GCACUGCCGGGGAGUCCCACGAUAGGACGAAACGGCCGUCCAGUGC